rnacentral:rRNA from 1 species
GAUAGAGGCCUACCAUGGUGGUAACGGGUAACGGGGUGUUAGGGCACGACACCGGAGAGGGAGCCUGAGAAACGGCUACCACAUCCAGGGAUGGCAGCAGGCGCGCAAAUUACCCAAUCCCGACACGGGGAGGUAGUGACAAUAAAUAACAAUACGGGGUUCUUUAGGAUCUCGUAAUUGGAAUGAGUACAAUUUAAAUCUCUUAACGAGGAACAAUUGGAGGGCAAGUCUGGUGCCAGCAGCCGCGGUAAUUCCAGCUCCAAUAGCGUAUAUUAAAGUUGUUGCAGUUAAAAAGCUCGUAGUUGAAUUUCGGGGUUAGUAGGUUGGUCAUGCCUCUGGUAUGUACUGGUCUCACUGAUUCCUCCUUCCUGAUGAGCCGUAAUGCCAUUAAUUUGGUGUUGCGGGGAAUUUGGACUGUUACUUUGAAAAAAUUAGAGUGUUUAAAGCAAGCUAACGCUUGAAUACAUUAGCAUGGAAUAAUGAAAUAGGACGUUCGAUCCUAUUUUGUUGGUUUCUAGGAUUGACGUAAUGAUUAAUAGGGAUAGUUGGGGGCAUUAGUAUUCAAUUGUCAGAGGUGAAAUUCUUGGAUUUAUUGAAGACUAACUACUGCGAAAGCAUUUGCCAAGGAUGUUUUCAUUAAUCAAGAACGAAAGUUAGGGGAUCGAAGACGAUCAGAUACCGUCGUAGUCUUAACCAUAAACUAUGCCGACUAGGGAUCGGAUGAUGUUAAUUUUUUAAUGACUCAUUCGGCGCCUUACGGGAAC